UUGGAGGGCAAGUCUGGUGCCAGCAGCCGCGGUAAUUCCAGCUCCAAUAACGUAUAUUAAAGUUGUUGCAGUUAAAAAGCUCGUAGUUGAAUUUCGAGACCGGUCUACUGGUCGUGCUUUUGUACGUACUGGUAUUAUUGGUUUCUCCUUUCUGACGAACUAUAAUGCCAUUAAUUUGGUGUUUUAGGGAAUCAGGACUGUUACUUUGAAAAAAUUAGAGUGUUUAAAGCAGGCUCACGCUUGAAUACAUUAGCAUGGAAUAACGGAAUAGGACGUUUGAUUCUAUUUUGUUGGUUUCUAGGAUCGACGUAAUGAUUAAUAGGGAUAGUUGGGGGCAUUAGUAUUCAAUUGUCAGAGGUGAAAUUCUUGGAUUUAUUGAAGACUAACUACUGCGAAAGCAUUUGCCAAGGAUGUUUUCAUUAAUCAAGAACGAAAGUUAGGGGAUCGAAGACGAUCAGAUACCGUCGUAGUCUUAACCAUAAACUAUGCCGACUAGGGAUCGGAUGAUGUUAAUUUUUUAAUGACUCAUUCGGCGCCUUACGGGAAAC
rnacentral:rRNA from 1 species